CUUUACUUUCACACCGGCUUUCUUGGGAGAGGGCCGGGCGCCGGUGCUCCGAUGAUGCGGGGGGGGCACAGCCGGGGUUGGGUGGGAGAGGCGAGAGGCUGAGGGCGAGGGGAGCAGCGAGAAGAAGCAGUCCGUUUCCAUUUGACGGCUCAACCGGCGGCCUUUACGCGGGGCGGAGAGGCGCCGCGGUCUAUGUGCGUAAUCCGCUUGCCGGGAGGAGCAUGCAGGGAAAGCCCUGAGCGGACUGAGGGGGGGAGGCUGAGAGGGUGGGAGAGGUUUGGAGUCGGACAGGGACGCAGGGACUUGACUGGACUGCUUGGUCAUAUCUGGAGUUUUUUUUCUCCCAUCCCGCUGCUCGGAGUUUGAUUGAGCGGACGGACACGCGCUCCCUUCAUCAUUGAAGCUGGUUGAAUUACACUUCAACACCAUGAACGGACCGACAAAGGUUCAGUACCAGUCAGGCCUUUAUGGAGGAGCCAACAACAACAGCAGCAGCUCUCCUCUUGCCAGCCGGGGAAAUUCACCCAUUGUGUGUGAGCGCUGUGGGGAGGUGUGUCGUGGGGAGGUUGUGCGUGUCAAAAACACACACUUCCACGUGCUCUGCUUUACCUGCCAAGUUUGUGGCUGUGAUCUGGUGCACUCGGGCUUCUUUCACCACUCUGGCGAGUACAUCUGUACAGAGGACUACCAGCGGCUCUACGGGACCCAGUGCGACAGCUGUGACCAGUACAUCACUGGGGAGGUGGUGUCUGCGCUGGGGAGGACAUACCACCCACACUGCUUCGUCUGCAGCAUUUGCAGGAGUGCGUUCCCAAUUGGAGACAAAGUGACUUUCUGUGGAAAGAAGUGUGUGUGUCAGCGGUGCUCACACACUCUGAGAGACGACAAACCCGUCAAGGUCCAUGGACCAAGCUACUGUGCAGGCUGUGGCGAGGAGAUCAAACAGGGACAGUCCCUGCUGGCUCUGGAGAGACAGUGGCACGUCACUUGCUUUAGAUGCCGUACGUGCGGCUGUGCGCUCACUGGAGAGUACAUCAGCAAGGAUGGGAGACCGUACUGUGAGACUGACUACCACGCUCAGUUCGGUAUCCGGUGUGACAGCUGUACCAGGUUCAUCAGCGGCAGAGUGCUCGAGGCUGGAGGGAAGCGAUACCACCCCAGCUGUGCCAGGUGUGCCCGCUGUCACAUGAUGUUCGUGGAAGGAGAGGAGAUGUACCUUACAGGUUCAGAGGUUUGGCACCCCAUGUGUAAAGAAACCGCUCGGCUGGAGAGAAAACUGAGGCUGAGACACACUUCUGAGACGGCGUCCGUUUCUCCUCCAGGCUCCUCUCCUCUCCUCGGCUCCCCUCGCCGGCUCAUCUGUUCUAAAGCUGAUGUUUCGGACUAUAAGCAGCUUGCAACUCUGCCCAGGGUCAAGCGCAUAUAUGACGUCCACAGGCCGGACAUCAUCCCUUAUCAGGCCGACCAUGCACACACACACCUCUCAGAUGACACUCUGGAGCGAUACAGCUGCGUACAGUCAUUGGGCUCCUCUUCCCCGUACUCUCAUGAUCUCUUGGAUGGUUUGGAGGUGAGAACGAGGCGUUCCUCCAGCUCCGCCUAUACCGAUUCCCCUGCACACAGUCGCCACGGAGGCUCCCCGCUGCAUUGUUAUCUCCCCGGCAGAGAGAGUGGCAGGAGUUCACCCUAUUACAGUCAGCCCGAGCCAAGGUGCACCACACCCAGCACCACCACCUUCCAAGCCCCCAAGCAUUUCCAUGUACCAGAUUCUGAGGAAACCAACAUCUACAGGAAACCCCCCAUCUAUAAAAGAAGAGCCAAUAAGAGUAAAACCAAUGAGAAUCUCCUCAAUUCAAGCAGCCUUUCCACCUCCAACUACAACAGCAUUUAUCACCCUGACUCCAACUAUUACCCAUAUGCCGGCUCUCCAAAAGUCUCCAGGGUCAGGAGGUUUUCUUCUGGAGGAGACGAGGAUGGAUGGAAUCACAAUAUAAACAAGGGAAUUGGCAGGAUGAUCUUGAAGGAGGAGAUGAAAGCGCGGUCAGCUGGUCACGACAAUGACCAGUGGGGGAGCAGACGCAGUUCCGGCUGUUGCAGCAGGGAGGCACUGAACAACGUGGACUACGGCUCCCUCAAUGGCUCUCCCGGGUCUGUCCACAGUGGAGACAGCGACUCAUACAUUGCUAAAUCAUCGUCUCUGCCAGGCUACCGCAGGAAUGGAAUAAACAGGCCUGUUAGCGCUGGUGCAGAUUAUUACCAGUAUGAUAGCAGCAAUGCGGUUAACUGGCAGAUCAGAGAAUACAAGGUAAGUCAAAGCAAACUGUACUGGGUCAAAGGUCUGGAUCAAUGCUUGAUGGAUAAGGAUGAUGUGUUCAAAGUUAUACAAUUUGAAUUCACCUAACUCAGUUACACCGACUUCAAUUAGUGUAAUGUUGUUGAACGGACGACUCAAACAUUGUAAUAGUUUUGCUUGUGAAACUAAAAAGUCUACCACCUUGGGUGGAAACUAGGGGGAAAAGAAAUUGGUAAUGUUCUGCAACUAAUUCUCCCAUAAGAGGGACAACGGUUGUGGGCUCACACUCAAGUCUCAAGUAUAUAACUAUAAUUUUAAGUUGUCUGAUAAGUUAAACUUUAUUACUUAAACUGAAAUGGAUUCAAACAUUUAACAAGACACAUCAUUUAAUUUGUGUAAAACAUCAUUAGGUGUUUUUCUAUACAUUUGUUUGGCUGAUUGGAAAGAGUUACUGGCAAAUCUCAAAUACAAUCGUACAAGGAAGGUCUUUAAUAAAUGAUUUUGCCGGAGUCUCCUUUUAAUUAAAAGAAAGUAUGAAACAUUUCAGGACAAAUAUUUAUCUUUAAUCUCUUCCUCAUUGGAAUACUGCAUGAAUAAUUACACUAAACUAAAGAGAGACUCAAUCAUUUUUCAAAUUAAUUCUGGCAUUAUUGUGUUGUAAAUCCUGCUAUUGGCCACUAGAGGGUUGAUGACAAAAAUCAAAUGUUCCAUCGGAGGACCUUGAUAGCAGAAUGGUUCCUGUGCAAGUUCAAAAAUACCACAUAAAAUAUUAAUUUACAAGUAUCUUUUUCAAUGGUGAAUUGUAAUUAAGUUGUAAAAGUAAACAAGUUAAAUUCCAUCCUUAGUGAACCUGCCUCGACAAAGCAUAUGAAUGCAGCUACAUUUCCAUGUGACAUCUGUGUGCGUUUUAGUUAAAUACAAGUUAUUUUGUGUGUGUGUGUGUUAGAUCUACCCAUAUGAUGUCCUGAUAGUGUCUGUCAGAGGACAGCAGCGUCUGCCGAGUGAUGUGGACAGAGCCAGACUCGAGCGUCACCUCUCACCGGAGGAGUUUCACAGAGUCUUUGGAAUGUCCAUGUCUGCUUUCGAUCACCUCGCCCAGUGGAAGAAGAACGAACUGAAGAAACAGGCCCGACUCUUUUGAAGCCACCAGCACCGUCCGAAACAAUGCAGGUUCAACAUUGUGCUCCAACAAACCCCCAAAGAGGCCCGUUGACCCCAAAGUGACUGUCACAGGGGAAGUGGAACUCUCCACAAUCAAGUUUUCUACUCCUCUGAUGUGACAGGAGCAGAACUGCUGACCCUCCGGUACCAACUAGCGAAAGGAGGGAGAACUUUGACUUUGAGACCCAACCGAUGAGCCACAGUGGAGCUGCAACAAAGCUAAAGAGUGAAAGGAGCUGUUCUCACUCUUACCAGCAGGUGGCAGCGUGAAAACAAGAGCAAUCAGGUGGAAGUCUGAUGCAUCACCAGGUGGACCUUAAGCUGAUGUACUUGAUACCACACUGAGAGUCCGCCAUGCUGCUCCAAACGGGCAUCCAUGUUCAAAAUAAUGGAGGCUGUGAAGAGUAGGAGUGAAUGAGUAAAAUGAUUCAGUGGUAUUCAUACAGACACUAUGAUCAGCCGCUCAUAAGAUGAAAAGAAUACUGUGACUCUCACCAACAUUAUGGUUAUUGAACGUGAGUGUUUGUUCAUAUGUAUAUGUGCAAAUGAUGAAACCAAAAGGUUUUCUUCUUUUUUUAUUACUGGCAUGGUUUUAUUUUUCUGUCAGUAUUUCUGAAGCCAUAUGAGUGUUUAGAGUUCUUCUCAAUGACAUGAGCAGACUGUACAGUUCACUUAUAGUAGGGUUUAUUGUGAAUUAACCAUGUCAUAGAAAUCAGGUUUUAUUACAUUUUUUUAUUACAUAAUAAUAAUUAUUAUAAACAAUUUAUUUUUGCUUUUGUUAUUUAAAGGAAUCAACGUUUAUGUUGCACAGUAUAUGUCACAGACAAAUAUCCAGACCCUCUGAAUAUUGAGAAAAAUAAAAUGCUCAGGUGAAGGAAGCAAAGGAAGAGAUGAAGGAAAGAAGGAUAGAGAACAGGAGGUAGUAACGACGGGGGGAACGUGUGAGGCGAGAAACAAAAAAGAAAGCUGCCAAGAGACAAAAAGUUCAGGGAGUUUAAAAAAAGAGUAAAUGAAUGUCACAAAAAUUGUAGAAACAGAAUUUGUGCGUGCGUAUGUGUGUGUUUGUAGGUCUUCAACAAUAGAGCAAUGCAUAAAUGUGUUUUUUAUUUAAGAGAGUAACCUAUAAUUUCCAAACAUGUAUCUGUAACUGAAACUUGUGAAUAAAUGAUUCAACCAUCA